UUAACAGCCUGGCUGAAGUCCCUUACCUACCAAAUGGCUACAGUAUGGACUGCAAUAAUGCAAGCUUCACACAUUGUCCUGCCAUAUGCCUCCACCCUGACCUGGAGGUACCAACUCUAAGGGUUCUGCAUUUCCUUCUUACUCCAUGUGCAAUU
rnacentral:sRNA from 1 species